AGGUGCGAUCAUACCAGCACUAAUGCACCGGAUCAUAUCAGAACUCCGCAGUUAAGCGUGAUUCGGCGAGAGUAGUACUAGGAUGGGUGACCUUCUGGGAAGUCCUCAUGUUGCACCUC
rnacentral:rRNA from 2 species